CACUCUGAUGCUGGCAGACAAGCCCUUCUUCCUGGUGCUGGAGGAAGAUGGCACAACUGUAGAGACAGAAGAAGAGUCCUCCCUUCCAAGCUCUGGCAGGCAAUACAGUGCUCCUGGUCCUCCAGAAGGGGCAGAAAUGGGAGCCCCCAUCAGAACAGGUGAGGUCCCACCUUGAGGCACCCACUGUCUGUCUCCCAUAAGCCUGCCAAGAAGAUGGAUGUGGCCCGCAUAACCUUUGACCUGAACAAGCUGAGCCCACAGGACUUCAUCAGCUGCCUGAACGUGAAGGCGACUUUCUAUGAUGUGUACUCCAUUUCCUAUGAUCUACA
rnacentral:lncRNA from 1 species